AAAGAUUUACACAGAUCUGUAGCAACCAGCCAGAUAGAACUAGAAGCAGUAAUUAAAAAUUCCCCAACUAAAAAAAGCCCAGGCCAGAUGGAUUCAGUGCAGGAUUCUACCAGCCUUUCAAAGAACACACAGCAGCGUUCCUCAAACUGUAAUGUAAAAUAUGAAAGAGGGAGCAUUUCUAGAGUCUUCAGCCAGGGUGCCCUGCAAAGCCGCCCUUGUGUCCUCUCCCAACAACUUUGACUCAAGUUCCUCGAGACAGGCUGUUGUCUGACAGAGUCUGUCUAGGACCCAGGAGAGCCACCACAGCCAAGGGAAGACAGGGUUGGAACUUACUGCAACACUCACCUCCAGAGAACCCCGCUGGCUGCAGAAACUCUCAGUCUAGAAGUUCUACAGGACUGAACAUGGUAAUCCCAGGGACAGCCACCACUGAUGGGCUUCACACUCAAAAGACCAGGCAAGAAGCCACAUUUGUGACUGAUGACAUCCAGUGAACCAGAAGGGCAGGGGAAUUAUACAGAACCCUGUGGCUGUAUCCCAGGACAGGGUGUGUAAUGGCUAUUCCUGGUUGUCAACUUGACUAUAUCUGGAAUGGACUACAAUCCAGAAUUGGAAGACACACCUGUGAACCAGAUCUUGAGGCUGGAAGAUACAAGUGUCUGACCUGGAUCUUGGCAUGGAGAUCUUGAGGCAUAGUGGCCAUGAAAAGCUUAGGCCCAGACAAGGUGGUACAUGCCUUUAAUCCCAGGAGACUGUGGCAAGGAGGUCUCUGAGUUCAAGAUCAACCUGGGACAAAGCAAAUCCCAGAUCCGGGCAUUGUCGUGGUAUAUACCUUUAAUCUGGGCCACACUUUCUGCUGGAGGCCUAAACAAGGACAUUGGAAGAAGGAAGAUUCGCUCUUCUUCCCCUGCGUGCACUUACUAGCCAGCACAUCUGUCGGAACCUACUUCUACAGAAGACCAGCUGAAACACCCAGCCUCGUGGAACUGAGCAACUACUGGAUCCUUGGACUUCCCAUUCACAGCUGGCCAUUGUUAGGUUAGUCAGAAUGCAGCAGACUGUGUAAGUCAUCACAAUAAAUUCCGUCAGUAUAGAGAGACAUUCCAUAAAUUCUGUGACUCUGGACAACCUUGACUAAUACAGGGUAGAUGGCUGGAACUCACACAGAAUUUUCUUGUGCUUAAAGCAACCCACAGGCAGCCAGCAGGUGGUCAGCCUUCAGCCUUUGUAUUAAGACCCACCUCCUCACCCACUGUUGCCAGAUGAAUUGAACAACAGGGAAGAUAAUUCCAAUCACAAACCAAUGGCUGUACUCUGACUGAGUCUCCUUGCAUAGAAGAGGCACCAGCAGCCAUGGAGGCCAACUUGGAAUCCUGCUGAAGCCUUAUCUGAGCCACAGUGACCAGCCCUCACCACAGCUGCUCCAGGGUGGGCAGUUAGGUCUUCCACAACUACUGGUAUGACUCUCUGCCUCAUCCUCCUGCAUCAAGAUGUGAGCUCUCAGCUACUUCCUCAGCUCCCUGCCUGCCUGCUGUCAUGCUCCCUGCCAUGAUGGUUGUGGACUCACCCUCUGAACUGUAAACCCACAAUAAACUAUUCUAUA
rnacentral:lncRNA from 1 species